rnacentral:rRNA from 1 species
GACUGGGGUGAAGUCGUAACAAGGUAGCCGUACCGGAAGGUGCGGCUGGWUCACCUCCUAA